CAAAAGGCAGAGUUGGAACAUGGCAUUCUGACCCAAUGCAUCAUACAGGCCACCGGCGAACGGAGGUUCAACGGACAGGUGAUGAGCAACCUGCUUUUGAAGAUCGCUCGAGGCUGAGUGGCAUCAACCAAACGCUGAAGAGAGAAUUUCGACCGCUUCGUGUCCUACAAUAGCCGCCUCCGCAACUCCAAUGAAAAUUGUAUAUAUAUGCAUAUGCUUUUUGUUGAAGCGGGAGCGGCCGGUGUACGGAACAACACGUAAAAUCCUCAAUCCCCAAGUGAAGAAUCAAACCGCUUUCGCAACUCCAAAAAAAUUGAAAAUCGCAGUCGCGCCGCCGCAGGUCUGCCUUGCAAGAGUGAGAUAGAUGUAUCGUCUGUCGCUGUAUGUGUGUGUUUUGCAUGCGCCUGCUUCUGCGUACAAAAAAAAUACGUCAGCCGACAGCGCAGCCGCAGCUGUUGUCUCUCUGUCUCUCGCUCUCUCUCUGCUUUUGCAAGGUAGCAGAAAAGG